rnacentral:piRNA from 1 species
UGCUGGUGCAUGGGGUUUUAGCCAGG